UACAGAGGUCCCAAGCGUUGUUCGGAGUUACUGGGCGUAAAGGGUGUGUAGGCGGUUCUUUAAGUUUGGUGUGAAAUCUCCCGGCUCAACCGGGAGGGUGCGCCGAAAACUGGGGGACUAGAGUGCGGGAUGGGAGAGUAGAAUUCCUGGUGUAGCGGUGAAAUGCGUAGAUAUCAGGAGGAAUACCGGUGGUGUAGACGGCUCUCUGGACCGCCACUGACGCUGAGACAUGAAAGCGUGGGUAGCAAACAGG
rnacentral:rRNA from 1 species